AUUGAACGCUGGCGGCAUGCCUUACACAUGCAAGUCGAACGGCAGCAUGGGUGCUUGCACCUGGUGGCGAGUGGCGAACGGGUGAGUAGUACAUCGGAACGUACCUUAUCGUGGGGGAUAACGCAGCGAAAGCUGUGCUAAUACCGCAUACGCCCUGAGGGGGAAAGCGGGGGAUCGAAAGACCUCGCGCGAUUAGAGCGGCCGAUGCCUGAUUAGCUUGUUGGUGGGGCAAAAGCCCACCAAGGCGACGAUCAGUAGCUGGUCUGAGAGGACGAUCAGCCACACUGGGACUGAGACGCGGCCCAGACUCCUACGGGAGGCAGCAGUGGGGAAUUUUGGACAAUGGGGGCAACCCUGAUCCAGCAAUGCCGCGUGAGUGAAGAAGGCCUUCGGGUUGUAAAGCUCUUUUGUCAGGGAAGAAACACCGGCUCUAACACAGUCCGGGAAUGACGGUACCUGAAGAAUAAGCACCGGCUAACUACGUGCCAGCAGCCGCCGUAA
rnacentral:rRNA from 1 species